rnacentral:rRNA from 1 species
AUUGAACGCUGGCGGCAGGCCUAACACAUGCAAGUCGAACGAGUGGCGGACGGGUGAGUAAUGUCUGGGAAACUGCCUGAUGGAGGGGGCUAACUACUGGAAACGGUAGCUAAUACCGCAUACCAUCGGAUGUGCCCAGAUGGGAUUAGCUAGUGGGUGGGGUAACGGCUCACCUAGGCGACGAUCCCUAGCCGGUCUGAGAGGCUGACCAGCCACACUGGAACUGAGACACGGUCCAGACUCCUACGGGAGGCAGCAGUGGGGAAUAUUGCGCAAUGGGCGCAAGCCUGAUGCAGCCAUGCCGCGUGAGUGAAGAAGGCCUUCGGGUUGUAAAGUACUGUCAGCGGAGAGGCGUUACCCAAAGAGAAAGCACCGGCUAACUCCGUGCCAGCAGCCGCGGUAAUAC